rnacentral:rRNA from 1 species
GAUGAACGCUAGCGGCAGGCUUAACACAUGCAAGUCGAGGGGUAGAGGAAGCUUGCUUCCUUGAGACCGGCGCACGGGUGCGUAACGCGUAUGCAAUCUACCUUGUACAGGGGGAUAGCCCAGAGAAAUUUGGAUUAAUACCCCAUAGUAUUAUUGAAUGGCAUCAUUUGAUUAUUAAAGUUCCAAAGGUACAAGAUGAGCAUGCGUCCCAUUAGGUAGUUGGUGUGGUAACGGCACACCAAGGCGACGAUGGGUAGGGGUCCUGAGAGGGAGAUCCCCCACACUGGUACUGAGACACGGACCAGACUCCUACGGGAGGCAGCAGUGAGAAAUAUUGGUCAAUGGGCGCAAGCCUGAACCAGCCAUGCCGCGUGCAGGAUGACGGUCCUAUGGAUUGUAAACUGCUUUUGUACAGGAAGAAACACUCCCUCGUGAGGGAGCUUGACGGUACUGUAAGAAUAAGGAUCGGCUAACUCCGUGCCAGCAGCCGCCGUAAAAC